AGUACCUUCUAAGUUUAGGCUCGUUUCGUAAUCGCUUAUCGUUUAGUUAUCGUUUCGUACGAGACGAAUAUGUUUGUGCUUAAAUGCAAUAUACAAUUUAGUCGGAAGAAUCUAAAAUUGUCACGAUUUUGUGAAAAAGUAAAAACGCUUCGCAUGCAAUGGACGAAAUGGACUACAGUGCCUAGGUUAGGAGGCAUACUGUUUAAACUUCUUCAUUGGACAGCCGCUACUGAGUCAGUUCUGGCAUUACUUUCGGCUAAAUAAAGAAUCUUCAGCUCUAUUCGAAUUAUCUGGACUACUCCAAAUCUUGUCAUUUGUGGUUUUUGACCCGUUAUGACGAA